rnacentral:rRNA from 1 species
AACGAACGCUGGCGGCAGGCCUAAUACAUGCAAGUCGAGCGCGCCCUUCGGGGUGAGCGGCGGACGGGUGAGUAACGCGUGGGAAUAUGCCCUUCUCUAAGGAAUAGCCUCUGGAAACGGAGAGUAAUACCUUAUACGCCCUUUGGGGGAAAGAUUUAUCGGAGAAGGAUUAGCCCGCGUUAGAUUAGGUAGUUGGUGGGGUAAUGGCCUACCAAGCCUACGAUCUAUAGCUGGUUUGAGAGGAUGAUCAGCCACACUGGGACUGAGACACGGCCCAGACUCCUACGGGAGGCAGCAGUAGGGAAUCUUAGACAAUGGGGGCAACCCUGAUCUAGCCAUGCCGCGUGUGUGAUGAAGGCCCUAGGGUCGUAAAGCACUUUCGCCAGAGAUGAUAAUGACAGUAUCUGGUAAAGAGACCCCGGCUAACUCCGUGCCAGCAGCCGCGGUAAUACGGAGGGGGUUAGCGUUGUUCGGAAUUACUGGGCGUAAAGCGCACGUAGGCGGAUUAGUAAGUUAGAGGUGAAAUCCCAGGGCUCAACCCUGGAACUGCCUCGUAAACUCCUAAUCUAGAGUUCGAGAGAGGUGAGUGGAAUUCCGAGUGUAGAGGUGAAAUUCAUA